rnacentral:rRNA from 1 species
AUUGAACGCUGGCGGCAGGCCUAACACAUGCAAGUCGAACGAGUGGCGCACGGGUGAGUAAUGUGUGGGAAACAGCCCGCUGGAGGGGGGUAACUAAUGGAAACGGUAGCUAAUACCGCGUACCCUCAGAGGUGCCCAUAUGGGCUUAUCGAGUUGUGGGGGGAACGGCUCACAAAGGCGACGAUCCCUAUAUGGUCUGAGAGGAUGACCAGCCACACUGGAACUGAGACACGGUCCAGACGCCUACGGUAGGCAGCAGUGGGGAAUAUUGCACAAGGGGUGCAAGCCUGAUGCAGCCAUGCCGCGUGUAUGAAGAAGGCCUUAGGGUUGUAAAGUACUUUCAGCGGGGAGGCGUUACUCGCAGAAGAAGCACCGGCUAACUCCGUGCCAGCCGCCGCGGUAAUUC